rnacentral:rRNA from 1 species
GACGAACGCUGGCGGCGUGCUUAACACAUGCCAGUCGAACGGAAAGGCCCUGCUUUUGUGGGGUGCUCGAGUGGCGAACGGGUGAGUAACACGUGAGUAACCUGCCCUUGACUUUGGGAUAACUUCAGGAAACUGGGGCUAAUACCGGAUAGGAGCUCCUGCUGCAUGGUGGGGGUUGGAAAGUUUCGGCGGUUGGGGAUGGACUCGCGGCUUAUCAGCUUGUUGGUGGGGUAGUGGCUUACCAAGGCUUUGACGGGUAGCCGGCCUGAGAGGGUGACCGGCCACAUGGGGACUGAGAUACGGCCCAGACUCCUACGUGAGGCAGCAGUGGGGAAUAUUGCACAAUGGGCGGAAGCCUGAUGCAGCAACGCCGCGUGCGGGAUAACGGCCUUCGGGUUGUAAACCGCUUUCGCCUGUGACGAAGCGUGAGUGACGGUAAUGGGUAAAGAAGCACCGGCUAACUACGUG